UAAAUAGAUUUUGAUUUAAAAUAUAUAGUUUUAUAUGUACAUAUAUUUAUUAAUAUCUCCAUGUUAGUUGUGUCACCUACGGUGAUAUUCUCCUGAUAAUAGCUACGUAAAUAUGAUUAUAACAAAUAUAUAAUUUGUUUAAAAUUCAUGAAUAUUUAUUUUUUUAUUAGAAAUUUAGGCAUCGAACAGUUCUUAGGACGGAAAGUGUUAUGGCACGAAAACAAAAAGCAGCAGUCGCCCUAAAGUCUGAUCGUGGCAUCGUUCAUAUUUUCCGCAUGAAUUGCUAACAAUGAAAGGAAGGCGGUGUGGUUCAAAAACCGUAGAGCAAAAUGGCGUAAACAGAAGCGCGAGGAACAGGAGAGAUUGCGGAAAUUGCAGGAAGAAAGGGUGUGUGGCAGGGCGUUGGUCACCACCAGGCCGAGACUGUCACCACCUACACGGCCACCACCAGCACCACCGACGCCACGGCCCUAUACAGACGACUCCGAGGACUCGGAUCUAGAGGUAGCUUAGACCUCAGACAGAAAGUGAUGUGAAAUGAGCACAAACAAGCUUUUGGACAAACAGUGAAACGGUUUUGUAAAUGUUAUAAUAAAAUAAGUUUAACAAUUUUAUUCCACGCUAUGUAUUAUUGCUUAUGUAGGUAGAUAGUUUUAAGUAAUUUUUAUUUUACUAUUAAUAUCUAGCUAAAAUAUAUCUAGUUAUGUAAAUUUCAAUAUAACAAUUUUAGCGUAUAUAAAAUAGAUGAAAAAUGAAACUUAGAUUCUCAUAAAGUUGUCCUUUUGAAUUAAAAAAAAUAAAUAUAUAACAUUCUAGAACAUGUUCAAUAAUAUGUGUUUUGGUUGUUUAACAUUAAAUAUACUUUAUAGACCUAUAGCAAAAUCAUGAUCUCUCCUAAGAUUAAAAUAUCUACUGAGUAGGAAAACAAUA